UUCAUUCCAAAUCUGACUAAUUUUUUAAAUUUUUUCCGGAACACCAACCAGCCGAGAAAACUGGAACGAAGAGGAGAAGCUGUGAUGCGGGAACAUCUGGCGUAAAACUGAGAGCGGCCGGAUGUGGAUCCCUGUGUUGUCCCACAAGUGGCUGGAAUCUCAAGUCUCUCGAAGUCUUCCGCCUGUCUCUGCUUUCCAAGCCCACCGAUCCUCCAGAGCGCAGCACGUGUACGAACACCAACCAGCCGAGAAAACUGGAACGAAGAGGAGAAGCUGUGAUGCAGGAACUUCUAGCGUAAAACUGAGAGCGGCCGGAUGUGGUACCCUGU